UGUUCCUCUAAUAACGGACAAUUUGUGUGUAUUUACAGAUCACAUUGUACAGGUCUAGUACAUCUAUUUCCAAUGGAGGAGACUAGCUAGGAUUAUGUGGCUUGUGGUGGGCUUUCGUACUGAGGUAUAAAAAUAACACUGAGAAAUGAAAAAUAGGUUAGAAUGACAGGAGAAUACUACGUGCUAUAGUUUGGUGACACGCUAAAGGAAUAUAGGUUAGAAUGACAGGAGAAUACUACGUGCUAUAGUUUGGUGACACGCUAAAGGAAUAAAGGUUAGAAUGACAGGAGAAUACUACGUGCUAUAGUUUGGUGACACGCUAAAGGAAUAUAGGUUAGAAUGACAGGAGAAUACUACGUGCUAUAGUUUGGUGACACGCUAAAGGAAUAAAGGUUAGAAUGACAGGAGAAUACUACGUGCUAUAGUUUGGUGACACGCUAAAGGAAUAUAGGUUAGAAUGACAGGAGAAUACUACGUGCUAUAGUUUGGUGACACGCUAAAGGAAUAUAGGUUAGAAUGACAGGAGAAUACUACGUGCUAUAGUUUGGUGACACGCUAAAGGAAUAUAGGUUAGAAUGACA